AGUAAUGCUUGGGAAUCUGGCUUAUGGAGGGGGAUAACGGCGGGAAACUGUCGCUAAUACCGCGUAUUAUCGGAAGAUGAAAGUGCGGGACUGAGAGGCCGCAUGCCAUAGGAUGAGCCCAAGUGGGAUUAGGUAGUUGGUGGGGUAAAGGCCUACCAAGCCUGCGAUCUCUAGCUGGUCUGAGAGGAUGACCAGCCACACUGGAACUGAGACACGGUCCAG
rnacentral:rRNA from 1 species